CUUCUGUCCCUCCCCUACGGCGUUCCGGGAGGGCGGGGCCAGCGCCGCGAGCUGCGGUCGUGUGGUCUCGGUUCUGGCUGCGUGUGGUCCAGGGUAUAAGGAAAGACCCUGGCUGUCUGCGGUGUGGACCCCUCACACAUUGAGCGCUGACUUUGCCAGGCGUUACAUAGAAGGAGACCAUAGCUCCGUGUGUUACUGUGACUCACAGUGAUUCAGGAUCGAGAUGUCUUCUAUCUUAGGAUUCUUCUACUUUCAACAUUUUCCAAGGAUCCAAAUUCAUCUGCAUCAGAUGGAAGGGGAAAGAGUAUGAAGGAGAAUGGGAAAUGUUCAUGGGCCAGGUCUAGAUGGGGUCCCCAAGUUGUGCCCACAUUUCAUUGUCUGGAGCUCACUCAAUAUGUGCUCAUACUUCACUGCAAAGGAGGCUUACAGAUUGCUGAAUUACCUGGAAGAAGAGGAAAUGAUUUGCUUUGGCCAUGAGAAGCUCUUUUCUUUUUUUUUUUUUUUUUCAUCACAAA
rnacentral:lncRNA from 1 species